rnacentral:rRNA from 1 species
GAUGAACGCUGACGGAAUGCUUAACACAUGCAAGUCAACUUGAACUUCGGUUUGGGUGGCGGACGGGUGAGUAACGCGUAAAGAACUUGCCUCACAGAUAGGGACAACAUUUGGAAACGAAUGCUAAUACCUGAUAUUAUGAUUAUAUGGCAUCGUAUAAUUAUGAAAGCUAUAUGCGCUGUGAGAGAGCUUUGCGUCCCAUUAGCUAGUUGGAGAGGUAACGGCUCACCAAGGCGAUGAUGGGUAGCCGGCCUGAGAGGGUGAUCGGCCACAAGGGGACUGAGACACGGCCCUUACUCCUACGGGAGGCAGCAGUGGGGAAUAUUGGACAAUGGACCAAGAGUCUGAUCCAGCAAUUCUGUGUGCACGAUGAAGUUUUUCGGAAUGUAAAGUGCUUUCAGCUGGGAAGAAAAAAAUGACGGUACCAACAGAAGAAGUGACGGCUAAAUACGUG